UACGAAGGGGGCUAGCGUUGCUCGGAAUCACUGGGCGUAAAGCGCACGUAGGCGGACUCUUAAGUCAGGGGUGAAAUCCUGGAGCUCAACUCCAGAACUGCCUUUGAUACUGGGAGUCUUGAGUCCGGAAGAGGUGAGUGGAACUGCGAGUGUAGAGGUGAAAUUCGUAGAUAUUCGCAAGAACACCAGUGGCGAAGGCGGCUCACUGGCCCGAUACUGACGCUGAGGCACGAAAGCGUGGGGAGCAAACAGG
rnacentral:rRNA from 1 species